UGCCCUGAUGGGCCCUCUUCCCUGUGCCAGUGGCAAGUCCCGUGCUGCAGCUGGGCUGCAGUGUGUGAUGCACGGCCUGCUUGUCAUGGGGCCUGGGCCAUGGCCCCCAACUUCUUUGAAGGGCAGGGACAGGCUGCAGGGGUUUGUACGAGCUUCAGACGGGGACAUGCCUGCUUCCCUCCAGCCUCUGUCUGGCUUUUCAAUAGCUUGUAUAAUAAGUUCUAAAUGACAAUUAAAACAUAAAACGAAGAGGGGACCAGAUGGCUCCAGGCAACAUUUAAAAAUACCAAGACUAUUUCUAAACACAGAUCACCAGAUCCACAACAGCCCUGGGCAGACUUAUCUGACAGCCUGGCUGAAAGGACAUGUGUGGUCUCAGCCCCCUCUCAGAAGAUGCCGUUAAAUAAAAUGCCAUUUGCUAGCAGAUGCAGGAGGAACUUGGGCUACCCCAGGACACAGCUGGUGGCUCUUCUCUGGAAGGCGGCUGCCAAGGGUGGUUUGCUGAGAAGUGGUGAGGGCAGCUUUGACAGAUGGCCCUGUGGCACCAUGAGGAAGAUGAACUGCUGUGCUAGAUGCCGGGCCAUGUGGUGUCCUGACUUCCCAGCCAUCUUUUGCUAGGGAUGUGGCUGCUGCACGACGGGUGUUAUGGCCAUGAACUCCUACCACCAGCAGGGAAAGCGCUUUGUUCCCUUCCCUGCCAUCUUCGCUGACGUAACUUCUGUCUCCAAAACAUUUGACCAGACUGGAAAAAUUACAGGAAAUACAUACAAGAACCAGUCACGUGACAGAAGGGAAAGCACGGCUGAGGCCCUCAGGCUGAGGGAAUGCCGCAGGACUGGGUUCCCUUCUCCUGGAGAGCAGGGAGCAAGCAGGGAAAAGGGGAACAUCUUCACUUAACCAAGGCCAGCAGCUGGACCCAAGUUAGAGCCCAGCAAGCACCAGCCAAGCUCCAUGUCCUACUCACAGGAAGGCCUCCCAACAGGGCCUGUGCAAGACAGGGCAUGCAUGUAGAUGCCCACAGUGACCACUUCGAUCUUUCUGAUUACCAGUUACACUUUUUCCAC
ensembl:lncRNA